rnacentral:lncRNA from 1 species
UUCUUCUUGCUCUUGUCUUCUUCUUUUUGUUCUUGUUCUUGUUCUUGUUCUUGUUCUUCUUCUUCUUUUCUUCUCCUCCUCUUCUUCUCCUCUUUUUCUUCUACUUCUCCUCUUCUUCUACUUCUCCUCUUCUUAUAUCUUCCUCUUCUUCUCCUCUCCUCCUCUUCUUAUUAUCCUAUCCCUAACCCUAACAUAAUUCUAAAUAUUACUAACCCUAAUAACCAAGCACUAACCUAAUAAAAAUAGCAAUUAAAUGACAAAAAACAAAAAA